GAAUUUUUGAUGGAUAUGACGUACCUCAUCAGCCUUCAAAUAUGAGUGACCGUUCUAAGAAACUGUUCUGCUUUCUUAUGGUGGUGGAUGAGGCUUCUCUUGAUUUCAUAAAGGAAAAUGCCACUAUAAGGGAGGACAGUGAUGGGGGACUAUGGGUUGGCAUGUGGCGUCUUGUUCUGCUGAAGCAUCCACCUUAUGAUGAGCCUAGAAGGAAUGGUAAAGUUCCCAAGAUUUUAACCCACAGGUUAUUUCCUCAAGCACAGUACAGCAUUUGGAUUGAUGGUAAAAUGGAGCUGAUAGUUGAUCCGUUGUUAAUUCUUGAAAGAUACUUAUGGCGUGGAAAGAAUACCUUUGCCAUUGCUCAACACAAACACCAUCACAGUAUAUAUGAGGAGGCUGAUGCAAACAAGCGGAGGAAACGAUAUGCACGACCCCUCAUUGAUCUUCACAUGAAAAUAUAUUAUUAUGAGGGAAUGGAGCCAUGGAGUUUGAAGAAAAGCACCAUUAGUGAUGUACCAGAGGGAGCUGUUAUUAUAAGGGAGCAUACAGCACUAAAUAACUUGUUUAGCUGCUUGUGGUUCAAUGAGGUCAACCUCUUCACUCCAAGAGACCAGUUAAGUUUUGGAUACGUUGUGGACAGAUUAGGAGGUGCAUUUAAGUUUUUUAUGUUUCCAAAUUGCGAGUACAAUUCACUGUUUGUGUUGCAUCCGCACACUAGAGAGCAUUCGUCAAAGGUAGAAUGGGUAAAAAGUUUAAGUGAAUUUAAGGGGAGUGGUAGCAAUAUGAAAGAGAGCAGAGGUGGAUUAGGACUGUGGACUCCUUAUCCUGGGGAACUUGAUUCAGUUAUGUUGCCGCAAGUUGUAAGAACAUCCAAAGCAGGC
rnacentral:misc_RNA from 1 species